UUAAAGCAAGUUACGAAAUAUGAAUAAAUAAAUAACUAAGAUAUAUCGAUCAUCGCAAACAGCUAUUUAUUUAUAAGGGAGGCCGAUAAAUGACCCAAUUUGGAAAGCAAUUCUCACAUAAGAACUUUCAUAAAAUAUAGAGUAUUAUUUUCGAAGAUGGUAUUGCUUAAGCUUGGUUCUAUUUUCACCAUUCUUCUCCUGGUAGCUAGCGUUAUGUCAACAUGGGAUAUUGAUCAUGAUCGUCCAGGACUUCAAAGGAGACUAGUCCCACAAGUUAAUGGUUUUAUGACUUGUGGAAGAAAUUGUACGACAAAUAGUGAUUGCAGUGAUUGUUGGAUUUGCUGCAGCUGCGACUUGGGAUAUGGAGUUGAUUUUAAUGUAUGUGUUACGUAAGUGCAAAUAAUAUAGUAGUGUCCAAUUGCACUAAUUCUAUUAUAAAUUUCAAUUAUGCAUUUAUAUUUCCAUGUAAUAUCAAUGUUCUCUUUGGCAAGGAAACAAUAAGCAAAUAUAUUUUUAUUUCUA